rnacentral:rRNA from 1 species
GAUGAACGCUGGCGGCGUGCCUAAUACAUGCAAGUCGAGCGAACGGACGAGAAGCUUGCUUCUCUGAUGUUAGCGGCGGACGGGUGAGUAACACGUGGAUAACCUACCUAUAAGACUGGGAUAACUUCGGGAAACCGUAGCUAAUACCGGAUAAUAUUUUGAACCGCAUGGUUCAAAAGUGAAAGACGGUCUUGCUGUCACUUAUAGAUGGAUCCGCGCUGCAUUAGCUAGUUGGUAAGGUAACGGCUUACCAAGGCAACGAUGCAUAGCCGACCUGAGAGGGUGAUCGGCCACACUGGAACUGAGACACGGUCCAGACUCCUACGGGAGGCAGCAGUAGGGAAUCUUCCGCAGUGGGCGAAAGCCUGACGGAGCAACGCCGCGUGAGUGAUGAAGGUCUUCGGAUCGUAAAACUCUGUUAUUAGGGAAGAACAGAUGUGUAAGUAACUGUGCACAUCUUGACGGUACCUAAGCAGAAAGCCACGGCUAACUACGU